GACGAACGCUGGCGGCGUGCUUAACACAUGCAAGUCGAGCGGAAAGGCUCCUUCGGGGGUACUCGAGCGGCGAACGGGUGAGUAACACGUGAGUAAUCUGCCCUUGGCUUUGGGAUAACUACCGGAAACGGUGGCUAAUACCGGAUACGACCACUCCUUGCAUGAGGUGGUGGUGGAAAAGUUUUUUCGGCCAGGGAUGUGCUCGCGGCCUAUCAGCUUGUUGGUGGGGUAAUGGCCUACCAAGGCUUCGACGGGUAGCCGGCCUGAGAGGGUGACCGGCCACACUGGGACUGGGACACGGCCCAGACUCCUACGGGAGGCAGCAGUGGGGAAUAUUGGACAAUGGGCGGAAGCCUGAUCCAGCAACGCCGCGUGAGGGAUGACGGCCUGG
rnacentral:rRNA from 1 species